rnacentral:precursor_RNA from 16 species
GUGUGUGUGUGGUGGAUGGUUUUGCCCCUGAGCCAUUGCAUUUGUCUGCCUUGUCUGUGCAUUGAGAUGUCCAAAGCAGCAUAGUGCAAUGGUGUCAGGGUCAGGACUGAAGUCUGCGAGUUCAAAC